GAAGUGUGAGUCCUGGUCAAGAACUGUAAAGAGCCAUAAGGGCUAUGCAUGUAUAACCAACAUGCUUUGAGUGUGUAUUUUCUAAGUGAAUGUAUACUUUUUCUCAUUUUGAUGCCCCAACACCCCCUGACCAGUACUAAUAUUAUUCUUAUUAUCUCUGUUUUACUGGAGUUGAGCGGGGAUGGGGUAGAACGUGAUCCCUGCUCUUUCUUACCCCACAUCAAGUAUGCUGUCCUGCGUCUGCCUCUCAGGAAGUCAAACCCUUGAGGGAGAAUGAAACAAGUACAGCUUUUCUUCCAGCUCAGUCUGUGGAGUCUUAUGGGAAACUAGAAGAGGAAUCCCCAGAACUAUCCUAAAAGAAAAAGAGACCCUGGCCAUGGAGCUUGCUGUGACAGUGGACGUUCGCUGUUUGCAGAUGGCUUUCCAAAGAAGGAAACUCCGCUUGCCAACGCUGAAUUCUGGGCAGCAAGGAGAGGAAACUUGGCCCUGCUGAAGCUGCUGCUGAACAGCGGACGGGUGGAUGUGGACUGCAGAGACAGUGUACGGAGGGCCGAGGGCCGGUACCUGCAUGCCCAGAGCAUCCCUUUCCACCCGCAGGCAUGAGAGCGUCACAUGAAUACGCCUCCCUUUGCAAUG